rfam:Kwoniella mangroviensis CBS 10435 unplaced genomic scaffold supercont2.5, whole genome shotgun sequence.
AACUCUGUAGCUCAGAGGAUAGAGCGCAAGGCUCAUAAGUUGAUCUUUCAACAAAGAAACGAAGAGGGAAACCACCAUACAAGUGGAUUCGUAACCUUGAGGUCGCUGGAUCGAAACUAGCCAGAGUUA